UGGGGAAUAUUGGACAAUGGGGCAACCCUGGAUCCAGCCAUGCCGCGUGAGUGAUGAAGGCCUUCGGGUUGUAAAGCUCUUUUGGCGGGACUGAUGGAUGACGGUACCCGCAGAAUAAGCCCCGGCUAACUUCGUGCCAGCAGCCGCGGUAAGACGAAGGGGGGCUAGCGUUGUUCGGAAUUACUGAGCGUAAAGCGAGUGUAGGCGGUUGCCGUAGUCAGGUGUGAAAGCCUUGAGCUCAACUCAAGAAAUGCACUUGAUACUGGGUGACUAGAGGACCGGAGAGGAUAGUGGAAUUCCCAGUGUAGUGGUGAAAUACGUAGAGAUUGGGAAGAACACCAGUGGCGAAGGCGGCUAUCUGGACGGUUACUGACGCUAAGACUCGAAGGCGUGGGGAGCAAAACAGGAUUAGAUACCCUGGUAGUCCACGCCGUAAAACGAUGGGUGCUAGACGUUGGCGAGCUUGCUCGUCAGUGUCGCAGCU
rnacentral:rRNA from 1 species